rnacentral:rRNA from 1 species
AUUGAACGCUGGCGGCAUGCCUAACACAUGCAAGUCGAACGAGUGGCGGACGGGUGAGUAAUGUCUGGGAACGUGCCCAAUAUAGGGGGAUAACUACUCGAAAACGUGGCUAAUACCGCAUACGAUCGGAUCUGCCGAGAGGGGAUUAGCUACUAGGUGGGGUGAAGUCUCACCUAGGCGACGAGCCGUAGCUGGUCUGAGAGGAUGACCAGACACACUGGGACUGAGACACGGGCCCUAUUCCUACGGGAGGCAGCAGUGGGGAAUUUUGCACAAAGGGCGAAAGCCUGAUCCAGCCACGCCGCGUGUAUGAUGAAGGCCUUCGGUUUGUAAAGUACUUUUGGCGGAGAGGCGUUAUCUGGAGAAGAAGCACCGGCUAACUACGUGCCAGCAGCCGCGGUAAUAC